CUUGUCUCAUGUUGCCAGCACGUAAUGGUGGGGACUCGUGAGAGACUGCCGGGGUCAACUCGGAGGAAGGUGGGGAUGACGUCAAGUCAUCAUGCCCCUUAUGUCCAGGGCUUCACACAUGCUACAAUGGCCGGUACAAAGGGCUGCGAUGCCGCGAGGUUAAGCGAAUCCUUAAAAGCCGGUCUCAGUUCGGAUCGGGGUCUGCAACUCGACCCCGAGAAGUCGGAGUCGCUAGUAAUCGCAGAUCAGCAACGCUGCGGU
rnacentral:rRNA from 1 species